GGAGUUUGGGCCGUGUCUCAGUCCCAAUGUGGCCGGUCACCCUCUCAGGUCGGCUACUGAUCGUCGCCUUGGUGAGCCGUUACCUCACCAACUAGCUAAUCAGACGCGGGGCCAUCGUAUGCCGAUAAAUCUUUUCACACUUUAUCAUGCGAUAUCGUGCGCUUAUGCGGUAUUAGCAGCCGUUUCCAACUGUUGUCCCCCUGCAUACGGCAGGUUCCCCACGCGUUACUCACCCGUCCGCCACUAAGUCAAUAUAUCGUCACCCCGAAGGGAUCGUAAUAUAUUGCUUCGUUCGACUUGCAUGUGUUAAGCACGCCGCCAGCGUUCAUC
rnacentral:rRNA from 1 species